rnacentral:antisense_RNA from 1 species
CUUGAUCGAGCCCAGCCGCAGCGGCCGCUCGGCGGUGUGGUGCCGCCCGUAGGUGGCCAGCAGCGCCUGCGCCUC